rnacentral:tRNA from 1 species
UCAUUAGAUGGCUGAAAGCAAGCAUUGGUCUCUUAAACCUUCUUAUAGUAAACUAGCACUUACUUCUAAUGAA